AGUCGAGCGGAUGAAGGGAGCUUGCUUCUGGAUUCAGCGGCGGACGGGUGAGUAAUGCCUAGGAAUCUGCCUGGUAGUGGGGGACAACGUUCCGAAAGGAGCGCUAAUACCGCAUACGUCCUACGGGAGAAAGUGGGGGAUCUUCGGACCUCACGCUAUCAGAUGAGCCUAGGUCGGAUUAGCUAGUAGGUGGGGUAAUGGCUCACCUAGGCGACGAUCCGUAACUGGUCUGAGAGGAUGAUCAGUCACACUGGAACUGAGACACGGUCCAGACUCCUACGGGAGGCAGCAGUGGGGAAUAUUGGACAAUGGGCGAAAGCCUGAUCCAGCCAUGCCGCGUGUGUGAAGAAGGUCUUCGGAUUGUAAAGCACUUUAAGUUGGGAGGAAGGGCAGUAAGUUAAUACCUUGCUGUUUUGACGUUACCAACAGAAUAAGCACCGGCUAACUUCGUGCCAGCAGCCGCGGUAAUACGAAGGGUGCAAGCGUUAAUCGGAAUUACUGGGCGUAAAGCGCGCGUAGGUGGUUUGGUAAGAUGGAUGUGAAAUCCCCGGGCUCAACCUGGGAACUGCAUCCAUAACUGCCUGACUAGAGUACGGUAGAGGGUGGUGGAAUUUCCUGUGUAGCGGUGAAAUGCGUAGAUAUAGGAAGGAACACCAGUGGCGAAGGCGACCACCUGGACUGAUACUGACACUGAGGUGCG
rnacentral:rRNA from 2 species